rnacentral:tRNA from 1 species
UCGUUGGUAGUUCAGUGGUAGAAUUCUCCCCUUCCAUGCGGGCAAUCCAAGUUCGAUUCCUGGCCAAUGCG